rnacentral:rRNA from 1 species
GUGGGGAAUAUUGGACAAUGGGGGGAACCCUGAUCCAGCCAUGCCGCGUGUGUGAAGAAGGCCUUUUGGUUGUAAAGCACUUUAAGCGAGGAGGAGGCUACCGAGAUUAAUACUCUUGGAUAGUGGACGUUACUCGCAGAAUAAGCACCGGCUAACUCUGUGCCAGCAGCCGCGGUAAUACAGAGGGUGCAAGCGUUAAUCGGAUUUACUGGGCGUAAAGCGCGCGUAGGUGGCCAAUUAAGUCAAAUGUGAAAUCCCCGAGCUUAACUUGGGAAUUGCAUUCGAUACUGGUUGGCUAGAGUAUGGGAGAGGAUGGUAGAAUUCCAGGUGUAGCGGUGAAAUGCGUAGAGAACUGGAGGAAUACCGAUGGCGAAGGCAGCCAUCUGGCCUAAUACUGACACUGAGGUGCGAAAGCAUGGGGAGCAAACAGGAUUAGAAACCCUUGUAGUCC